rnacentral:tmRNA from 2 species
GGGGGCGACUGGCUUCGACAGGGAAGCGAGGGUCAGAGAGGCAUGCCGGGUUACUGCUUACCCGUACCCAAGCGGAACUAAACACAACUGCAAACUCACACGAGUACGCACUAGCUGCCUAGAGCAGCUACAUCAUCCGGAUCUUCUUCCUGCUUCUAGGUCCGUGUAUGGUGUCAUCUUAGCAGGAUAGUCCGGCGCAACGCCUAUAACGCCGGGCGAAGCCUUAUAGGCUGGGGUGGUAAAGAACCUGUCAGCGGGUGUUUUACCGUCCGAGAUCAAAUACGCUGACUAAGCAUGUAGGCUGUCUGAAGCCUUCUUUUCUGGACGUGGGUUCGAUUCCCACCGCCUCCACCA